GACGAACGCUGGCGGCGUGCUUAACACAUGCAAGUCGAACGAUGAACCGGUUUCGGCCGGGGAUUAGUGGCGAACGGGUGAGUAACACGUGGGCAAUCUGCCCUGCACUCUGGGAUAAGCCCGGGAAACUGGGUCUAAUACCGGAUACGACACUCCGAGGCAUCUUGGGGUGUGGAAAGUUCCGGCGGUGCAGGAUGAGCCCGCGGCCUAUCAGCUUGUUGGUGGGGUAAUGGCCUACCAAGGCGACGACGGGUAGCCGGCCUGAGAGGGUGACCGGCCACACUGGGAUUGAGACACGGCCCAGACUCCUACGGGAGGCAGCAGUGGGGAAUAUUGCACAAUGGGCGAAAGCCUGAUGCAGCGACGCCGCGUGAGGGAUGACGGCCUUCGGGUUGUAAACCUCUUUCAGCAGGGAAGAAGCGAAAGUGACGGUACCUGCAGAAGAAGCACCGGCUAACUACGUG
rnacentral:rRNA from 1 species